rnacentral:rRNA from 1 species
UAAUAGCGUAUAUUAAAGUUGUUGCAGUUAAAAAGCUCGUAGUCGGAUGUCGGGCUCGGGCAGGCUGUCGGCUUCGGUCGGACGGCAGGCUCGGGUCUUUCUGCCUGAGGAUCCAUCUCAUUCACUUGGGGUGGGGACGCAGGCCGUUUACUUUGAAAAAAUUAGAGUGUUCAAAGCAGGCCUACGCUUGAAUACAUUAGCAUGGAAUAAUGGAAUAGGACUUUGGUGCUAUUUUGUUGGUUUAUGGGACCGAAGUAAUGAUUAACAGGGACAGUUGGGGCCGUUUAUAUUUCGUUGUCAGAGGUGAAAUUCUUGGAUUUACGAAAGAUAAACUUCUGCGAAAGCAUUCGGCAAGGAUGUUUUCAUUGA